UUAACUUUUAAAGUAGUAUCUAUAAAUUUAGAUAAUUAGGGUGGUACCGCGAAUAAUCUCGCCCCU
rnacentral:sRNA from 1 species